GAUUUAGCUCAGUGGUAGAGCACUUGCCUAGUAAGCCCAAGGCCCUGGGUUCAGUUCUCAGCUUCGAAAAAAAAAAAUAAUAAUAAAAUAAAACAAGCAGGAACAAAGCUGGGUGUGUUGGCUCAGCUGGCUUCAUCCCCGCACUCUGAAGUCAGAGCAGGCAAAUCUCUGAGGUCUCCGGGUUAGUCAGAGUUACACAGGGAGACCGUGUUUCAAAAAAAAAAAAAAAAAAAAGGGCAAGGACAGUCCUCUUUGUUAAAUCUGCACGUUACCUUGACUCUGUACCCUACCUCUACACGCCCUUCAUAGGGCUGAAUCACUGGAUGAGCCUUGCCAUGAUCCUUUUGAUGCUGGGAACUGUGGUGGUUUGGAUAGGAACAGCCCCCACAGACUCCCAAUGCUUGGCCCACAGGGAAUCGUCCUAUGAGGAGGUGUGGCUUUUUGGAGUAGGUGUGGCCUUGCUGGAGGAAGUGAGUCACUGUGAGGGCGGGCUUUGAGGUCUCAGAAGUUCCAAUCAGUUCUCUUUCUGCUGCCUACAGAUCCGGAUGUAGAACUCUCUGUUCCUUCUAAAGCACAGCGGCUCCUUGCACGCUACCCUGAAUGUUUCCUGCUAUGAUGAUAAUGGACUGAACCUCUGAUCCUUACAAAUAUCUGAUAUGCAGGAGAUCUGAUCCUGUGAGUGUCUCGCCACACAGACUGAGAACUGCUGCUGUAGAAGUGAGCAGGGCACGUAGCCGCUGAAGGCUAAGGUGGAGGAUGCUCCACUCAGAGACACGGGCCUGCUUUCCUGUCUACCGUCCCCUUGGAUUGCUCAGAUUGGCUGGAUGAAACGAUGUAGAUAUGCCUGACCAUGAGACCACCGACCUGAUUAGCGUUCACUGCCAGCUUCACGCAGCUUACUUCAGACCCAGCGCUUUUCAGGAUGAUCUGAUCCAUCUGCCCCUGCACAAGAUGGCCAAGCAGGGACGAUGAGGAACCACAGGACCAUGAGGGCCACAGAGACUCUGAAGAAAUGUCUGAUGAAACAGCGCAUUGUGUCUGCUGGGGUCGGGCUCCUACAGCAAGAGAUAAAGAAGGCCACUUGUCCUCUGAUGACAUUUGCUGCCACUCUUCCUACAUUUGUUUGGAGUUCCAACUCUCCCAGAGUUUCCCCUGCUCAGAACGGCUUUUUGUCAUGUGAGUGAUUCACUUGUGAACUUCUGUAUAAGAUACCCAGAGGGCUGGAGAGAUGGCUCAGCGGUUAAGAGCACUGACUGUUCUUCCAGAGGACCUGAGUUCAAAUCCCAGCAACCACAUAGGGGCUCACAACCAUCUGUGAUGAGAACUGAUGCCCUCUUCUGGUGUGUCUGAAGACAGCUACAGUGCACUCAUAUAAAUAAAAUAAAUAAAUCUUUAAAAAAAAAAAAAA